rnacentral:rRNA from 1 species
UACAGAGGUCUCAAGCGUUGUUCGGAUUCAUUGGGCGUAAAGGGUGCGUAGGUGGCGCGCUAAGUCAGGUGUGAAAUUUCGGAGCUUAACUCCGAAACUGCAUUUGAUACUGGCGUGCUUGAGGACUGGAGAGGAGACUGGAAUUCAUGGUGUAGCAGUGAAAUGCGUAGAGAUCAUGAGGAAGACCAGUGGCGAAGGCGGGGUCUCUGGACAGUUCCUGACACUGAGGCACGAAGGCCAGGGGGAGCAAACGGG